CCUACGGGUGGCAGCAGUGAGGAAUAUUGGUCAAUGGGCGAGAGCCUGAACCAGCCAAGUCGCGUGAGGGAGUACUGCCCUAUGGGUUGUAAACCUCGUUGGUCGGGGAGCAAAAGCCGGACGUGUCCGGCUGUGAGAGUACCCGAAGAUAAAGCAUCGGCUAACUCGGCGCAAGAAGCCGCGGUAAUACGGAGGAUGCGAGCGUACUCCGGAUUUAUGGGGAUUAAAGGGUGCGCAGGCGGAUUUUUAAGUCAGCGGUCAAAUCGUGGGGCUAAACCCCAUCCAGCCGUUGAAACUGGGGAACUAGAGGGUGCGAGAGGUAUGCGGAAUGCGUGGUGUAGCGGUGAAAUGCAUAGAUAUCACGCAGAACCCCGAUUGCGAAGGCAGCAUACCGGUGCACAACUGACGCUCAGGCACGAAAGCGUGGGUAUCGAACAGGAUUAGAUACCCCAGUAGUC
rnacentral:rRNA from 1 species